ACAACGGGAAGGGUGUUCUCAUCAAAUAUCAUCACCCCUGGAGUCUCCUUCGCGGCGGCUCUCCGAGGCAACACAUUACAGGAGCGACAAACACCAGUGGCAGUUCCACCAGCAGCCACGAAACCGAGCGUCCCGAUCCCUGUACUGGAACAACACGCAGAUAUUGGCAAUGGAGGAUGUUCACACCAGUCCAUGCCCUCAGUUCAUGAAUGAUGACAGCGCCCAAGAAAAUUGUGACUAUGUGAUGUUGGUGGAUGGCCAGCAAUUGACAUAUGUGCAGGCACCUGUAUUAGAAAUUACCAACAUACUGAGGGACAGUCCUGGUGUUGUCAGUCUGAUAGCUUUUGUUCAAUUCGAGCUCCGAAAAUGGGAUUUUAUGGAUAAAUUAAAUUUAAUAAAUACAUAUUUUAGACUA